rnacentral:lncRNA from 1 species
UAGUGGAAGCAAAACCCCGGUAGGAGUAUAUUCAGCAGAGAGUUGGAGGAAAGGAACUGGAGACCCUGAAUCUAGAAAACACUUCCAAGGAGCUUUGCUGUAAGGAAGAGGGCCGACCCUUCUCAGUUCCUCCAUCCUGCCGCCUAGACCAUUGUGUCAUUCCUGGAGCACCAGCAUUUGUCUUGCAACAUGAGAAUUAGAGCGACAUCCUAAAGAUGGUGGAAUAGAAUGUUAGAAGGGGUCUGGGUCUCUGACAACUUGAUAAAUACCAUUACAG